rnacentral:rRNA from 1 species
CCCUUAGAUGUUCUGGGCCGCACGCGCGCUACACUGAUGAACGCAACGAGACCACCUGUACCGAAAGGCAUGGGUAAACUUGUGAAAGUUCAUCGUGAUGGGGAUAGAUUAUUGCAAUUAUUAAUCUUCAACGAGGAAUUCCUAGUAAGCGCGAGUCAUCAGCUCGCGUUGAUUACGUCCCUGCCCUUUGUACACACCGCCCGUCGCUCCUACCGAUUGAAUGGUCCGGUGAAAUCUUCGGACUGCUGCAGUGUUCAGUUCCUGAUCGUUGCGGCGGAAAGUUUAGUGAACCUUAUCACUUAGAGGAAGGAGAAGUCGUAACA